GGGGUAUUAAGAAAUUAUAGAGUAAAGAAUAUAUAAAAGCCUUUGAACAAAAAAACAUGUUUUGGGGUCUAAAAGAUUGUACUGCCCAUGAUACCACAUUGGUUAUCCCCUUGAUUGCACAUGGUAUUAAAAAGAGAAUUGAGAGGUCUACUAUAAGCAAAAUAAAGAGUUGAGGAUAAGUGAUUAGGUUUUUGGAAAACUUAAAUUAAAGUUUAUUCGGAGGUUGUAAAAUUGAGUUUUAUAAAGGUCGGUUGGUAACCUUAGUGAGCUUUAGAUUGUUUUAAACAGAUUUGCGUAGUUUUUUGCAAUUGCCUUUUAGAAAAUCUAUAAUGGGCACGUUUUUAGGACUCGACACCAGUGCGGAGCAUUAACAUAAUAUGAAGACAUAGAGUAAGUAAUGGGGAGUGAGAGGUGAUAAAUAUGAGUGCCAGCAAUCGCGGUUAGUCUUAUCUUCUCCAGCCAUUGAAUUAUCAUAUAAAAGUAAAAGUGGAAAAAAAACUCUUAUCUGCGGUAGAUACGGUAAAAUGUGGCUGCUAAGAAAAAUUCUUGAAGAGAGUUAAAGUAAGAUUGUUUUUAAUAUAAAACCUUAUAAGGCUGCGUAGCUGAGACGGGGAUUUGUACCCCAGUAUUAAUGCUCUUGAAUAAUGUGUGGGUACUACGAGCAAACGCGCUUAAAAACCAAAGAGGUUGGCGGUAUUCCAAAUCCGGUUAGGGGAACUUGGCGAUUAAAUCGAUGAACCUCGAAAAUUUUACCCUUAGUUUUCUUUGCAUACCGCCGUUGAGACAAGCUUUUGGGGGUCGAAGAACUUAAACGCAAAAUAUAAAAAAUAUUUAAAGGAGAGCUGUUUGAAGCUUUUAGUUGGGGUUUCUAUAAAAAUUCAGGUAAACGUGUAGGUUCUAAGGGGUUUAGCUGAGUUACAUUUUUUUAUAAUAAGGCGGAUGUCCAGGUUUAAACUGGAUUGAAGAUGUACUUGUUAGUAAAAUUUUUUAUAAAAGAAAUUUGAAUAGAGUUAUGGAAUGCGUACAAAUCGCCCGGCGCCCUCGAAUAGUUUAAAUUGAGGUAAGUCGUAACAUAGUAAUGCUAGUAGAAACUGGUGUUAAGCAAACUAAAAGGAGUUAGUUAGAAUCUAAUAUUAAAGGUGUUA
rnacentral:rRNA from 1 species